GACGAACGCUGGCGGCGUGCUUAACACAUGCAAGUCGAACGGUGAACCUGCUUCGGUGGGGGAUCAGUGGCGAACGGGUGAGUAACACGUGGGCAACCUGCCCUCAGCUCUGGGAUAACUCCAAGAAAUUGGGGCUAAUACUGGAUAUGACCGCUGACCGCAUGGUCUGGUGGUGGAAAGAUUUAUCGGCUGGGGAUGGGCCCGCGGCCUAUCAGCUUGUUGGUGGGGUAGUGGCCUACCAAGGCGACGACGGGUAGCCGGCCUGAGAGGGUGACCGGCCACCGGGGGACGAGAACCGGGCCCGGCCCCCGACGGGGGGCAGGAGGGGGGAUUGUGGCGCAGGGGGCAAAGGCCUGACGAAGCGCCCCCGGGGGGGGGAGGAGGGCCUGCGGUUUUUAACCCUCUUUCAGCGGGAACAAAGGGAAAGGGCCGUUCCCGUCUAAAAAACCCCCGCCCAACUCCGUG
rnacentral:rRNA from 1 species